GGCCCGCCGCACCCGCUUUAUUUUGUAAACAUUAAAGAGGAUACUAGUGAGUAGUAGUAGACAAGAAUAAGCGGCAUCAGCUCACUGAAUGAAAUCUCUAGCGAAAAUAUACAGAUUGACAAGUUUUCCAUUCUGAAUAUGGGGAUGCUUCUUGUAUCUUUCUCAUCAUGGUUCUAAUAUUGUAAACUUUAUUCGGUAUCAAUCAUCUCCACUGAUAUUUCAUCAUUUAUUGGAUACCAGUCCUGCCGGGUUACAACGACCAACGCAGUUGCACGGGUUGUAAACUUUACCCACAACCACCACGCCUUCCAUCCAUCCGUCCAUCUGCAUGAGAUUGGCCUCCUGCGUUUGAUAUUUGCGGAAUCAGUUACGUCGGUGGAAUAACAUUUGACAGGUGGCUGUAGGAUCAGUUGGGUUUCAAUUAGUAAAGGAUUUAGGAAUCACCAGCCAUUUUAUCAUGGAGUUAUGGAAUAGUAUUGUGUGGAGAGGCACAGCAGUGCUGUUGUUUCUGACAACCUUGUAUUUUACAAGAGGAGAUGCAAGCCUGUCAUUGGACGUGGAUGGUAGCCAUGUCUGUACAAUAACAGAAAGUUAUUUCCAGACCCUGACAGCAUCAUAUAGAGAACCAUUUGAUCAGACAUACUAUACCAAGUGUACAGACAUCACAAACUGGUUCAAGUGCACAAGAAGAAGGACGAGGUACAGAGUUCGGUAUCGUCAAGAAGUGAGGACUCGCUAUCGCAAGUUGAGGCUAUGUUGUAGUGGGUACCAUCAGAGAGAGAAUAUGUGCAUACCUAUUUGUUCCAGUCCCUGUGUCCAUGGGACAUGUUCUGUUCCAGAUCUAUGUACCUGUGAAGCUGGAUAUAGGGGUGAUACAUGUGAAAGUACUUGCCCAGAUAAGAGAUGGGGUAGUAACUGUCUAAAUCGUUGUCAAUGUGCGAACGGAGCAUCAUGUGACCCGACGGACGGAAGCUGUUCCUGUCAAGCUGGCUUUUCAGGUCCCACUUGUUCUGAUCCAUGUCCUGCUAAUACUUAUGGUCCAGGGUGCCUCUUAGAGUGCCAGUGUGAGAAUGGGGGUAGAUGUGACUCGGUAACAGGUGCAUGCUCUUGCCCCCCUGGAUAUCGACUGCCCUUGUAAGUAAAUUCAAUUAGAAAAGUUUUCUAUCUCUAACAAUUUGCUUUUAGAUAUUAAAAAAAUAUAUUAAUCCAUUUUUGUCUCGCCUGCAUAGCAGAGCGAGACUAUAGGCGCCGCUUUUCCGACGGUGACGGCGGCGGCGUCAACAUCAAAUCUUAACCUAAGGUUAAGUUUUUGAAAUUACAUCAUAACUUAGAAAGUAUAUGGACCUAGUUCAUGAAACUUGGCCAUAAGGUUAAUCAAGUAUUACUGAACAUCCUGCUUGACUUUCAGGUCACAUGACUAAGGUCAAAGGUCAUUUAGGGUCAAUGAACUUAGACCAUGUUGGGAGAAUUAUUUUCAAAAUCUUAACCGAAGGUUAAGUUUUUGAAAUGACAUCAUAACUUAGAAAGGAUAUGGACCUAGUUCAUGAAACUUGGGCAUAAGGUUAAUCAAGUAUUAGUGAACAUCCUGCUUGAGUUUCAGGUCACAUGACCAAGGUCAAAGGUCAUUUAGGGUCAAUGAACUUUGGUCAAGUUGGGGGUAUUUGUUGAAUUACUAUCAUAACUUUGAAAAUUUAUGGAUCUAGUUCAUGAAACUUGGACAUAAGGUUAAUCAAGUAUUAGUGAACAUCCUGCCUGAGUUUCAGGUCACAUGGCCAAGGUCAAAGGUCAUUUAGGGUCAAUGAACUUUGGCCAAGUUGGGGGUAUUUGUUGAAUUACCUUCAUAACUUUGAAAAUUUAUGGAUCUAGUUCAUGAAACUUGGACAUUAGGUUAAUCAAUUACCACUGAAUAUCCUGUGCAAAUUUCAGGUCACAUGACCAUGGUCAAUGGUCAUUUAAGGUCAAUGAACUUUAGCCGUGUUGGGAGUCUUUGUUAAAUUACCAUCCUAACUCUGAAGGUUUAUGGAUCUAGUUCAUAAAACUUGGACAUAAGAGUAAUCGAGUAUCACUGAACAUCUUGUACGAGUUUCAGUAGUUUUCAAAGUUAGCACUGCUGCUAUAUUAAAUUGCGUAAUGCAGGCGAAACUGCCAGAGGCGUUCCACUUGUUUUAGUAUUUAGUGCUCAAGAUUAUGAUCAAAAUUUAUGUCAAGGUAAGAAAUGGAAAUCAGGAGUAAAUAAGUUGUUUCUGUAAAUUGGAAAUUUAAAUUUUCAGUCUCAGACUGUGUGUUCUCUGGAGGUCCUCAUUAUGUAAAGCCUUGUACAUAACACUUCUAUGAGCUUGAUAUGGUCUAUUAUCAAUCAGGGGAUAUUUCCUUGUCCUAAUGGAGGACAGACAGCAGCUGACUGCUCUACUCAUGACUCUAUGGCCCCUGAGUUUUUUAGAGUGUUUUAUCUUGAACAUGUCCGGAGCUUGGGAUUUGAGACAGAGUAUUUAUUCAUUGAGAAAGUACAGUUUUGAUUUAGGGCUUUGCAUGUUCCCUGAUUUUCCUUUAUUUCACAUAUAAUUUUUUUUGUUUUGUAUUAUAUAUAUGUACCUCUUCCUCUAUUCUUAAUACAGCAUUAGAAUUAAGAUGGAAACCAUAUUCCUGAGAUCAUUAUGAUUGAUUUUAAAGGGUGUUGAAGCCUACAUGCACAUGAACCCAUAAUGUAAAAUCUUAGUUUUUAAUAUGGCAACUUAGCCAUUAUGGUAACUACCAAGGAAGCCGUGAUUUUUUUAAAUUACUGUAAAGUUCCGUGUAUACGGCGCACCCCGACUUUUGGACUUGUCAAAAAUGAAAAAGAAGACAUGAACAUUACCGGAAAAAUUACCCAUCAGAAUCGGCACGUUCCUAACCUGCGCUACAUAUUUUCCCCCUCACUUUUCAACACUAAAUAAGUGGUAAUUAAUUGGACAACAGAGAAAAGGAAAAGCAGCAGCUAACUCCAAAUAUUGCCGCCAGUGUAGCGGAGCCCUGUUACGGAAAUUCUGUGAGCCCCGCACUUAUUUUUUAAUUGCCGAAAAUUACAUGACGUGCUUAAGUCAUGUGACCGUACUGUUGCGAGGGGGAAAAGCCUGCCGCCGAAUCGGUGUGCUGGUAGAUCAGUUCCCUGUGCAGCGCUAUUGGAAUUAAGAACAUGCAUGUUUUUUCGGGUUUCAAAGUGAUGAGUAUUCAUCAUGAAUAUUGCAUUAUGAAGUCUAUUUUGCCAUUUAUGGCACCGCGCAACAUCCCGUGCACCUAUCCGCUCUCUACAGCCCCAUAUGUAU